AGGCUACUGCUAUUGGGAUUCGACUAAGCCAUGCGAGUCAAGGUGUCUUCGGACGCCGGCAUACGGCUCAGUAACACGUAGGUAACCUACCCUUUAGGACUGGGAUAACUCCGGGAAACUGGGGCUAAUACCAGAUAGAUAAAAGAUACUGGAAUGUUCUUUUAUCCAAAGCUUUUGUGCCUAAGGAUGGGCCUGCGUCCGAUUAGGUUGUUGGUGGGGUAAUGGCCCACCAAGCCUGCGAUCGGUACGGGCAGUGGGAGCUGUAGCCCGGAGUUGGGGACUGAGACAAGGCCCCAGGCCCUACGGGGCGCAGCAGGCGCGAAACCUCUGCAAUGCGGGAAACCGUGACAGGGGGAUCCCAAGUGCUCAUGCAUUGCAUGGGCUGUUCUUUGGUCUAAGUAACCAGAGGAGUAAGGGCUGGGCAAGACCGGUGCCAGCCGCCGCGGUAAUACCGGCAGCUCGAGUGGUAGCCGCGAUUAUUGGGCCUAAAGCGUUCGUAGCCGGAUAAGUAAGUCUUUGGUUAAAUCCUGCGACUUAACCGUGGGAAAUCUAGAGAUACUGCUUGUCUUGAGACCGGGAGAGGUUGGAGGUACUCCUAGGGUAGGGGUGAAACCCUGUAAUCCUAGGGGGACCACCUGUGGCGAAGGCGUCCAACUGGAACGGGUCUGACGGUGAGGGACGAAACCUAGGGGAGCGAGCCGGAUUAGAUACCCGGGUAGUCCUAGGCGUAAAUGAUGCGAGUUAAGUGUGGGGGCAUCUACGAGAUGGCCCUGUGCUGUAGGGUAGCCGUUAAACUCGCCGCCUGGGGAGUACGGUCGCAAGGCUGAAACUUAAAGGAAUUGGCGGGGGAGCACCACAAGAGGUGGAGGCUGCGGUUCAAUUGGAUUCAACGCCGG
rnacentral:rRNA from 1 species